AUUAUUUUUAAACCACUUUUCUUUAAUUUUCUUAAGGUCUUCUAACAAGCCUUUUGCACACCUGCCAUGUAUUUUGUCAGGCCUUGGGGAUGAAGGUGAGAAAUUCGAGAAUCCCCGGAGAUAACACAUCAGCAAAUAGUGCGCAGGCAGAACAAGCUGUUGGAGGUGAGAGACACAGAGCAGAGAAGCACCCGCACCUGGAGAGUCAGGAGGGCCUCACAUCAGAACGCCUGAGCAAAUACAGUUUUGAAGGAUACUAAUUUUUUAAAAAGUUCAUUCACAUGAGUUAGACAAAGAGAAAGAAGCAGGACAUUCUAGGAAGAAGGAACGGCCCAGGCAAAAGCGACGCGUACAUUGGCGUGGGUCCAUUCAAGAAUUGUGCCCACAAUAUACCAGGCACUUGUCCAGACCUGCAUCGUCCAAUGCCCACCUCGACCUCCCAAAGUGUUGGGAUUAGAGGCGUGAGCCACCGCGCCCUGCCUGCAUGUGGCUAUUGAGAUGUGCUGUAUGAUACACACCGGACUUUGAAGACUCAGUGUGAAAAAUAAAAAGAAUUUUAAGAGGGGUGGGGGUCGAGGGGAGGCAGAGCAGUAGGACAAAUAGCUAAUGCACGCAGGGCUUAAAACCUAGACAACAGGUUGAUGGGUGCAGCAAACCACCAUGACACAUGUUUAUCUAUAUAGCACCUACAUGUUCUGCACUUGUAUCCUGGAACUUAAAAUUAGAAAAAAA
rnacentral:lncRNA from 10 species